UACGUAGGGAGCAAGCGUUGUCCGGAAUCAUUGGGCGUAAAGGGCGCGUAGGCGGUCUGUUAAGUCAAAUGUGAAAUGCACUGGCUCAACCAGUGAUCUGCGUUUGAAACUGGCAGACUUGAGAUCAGGAGAGGAGAGUGGAAUUCCUAGUGUAGCGGUGAAAUGCGUAGAUAUUAGGAAGAACAUCUAUGGCGAAGGCAGCUCUCUGGCCUGACACUGACGCUGAGGCGCGAAAGCGUGGGGAG
rnacentral:rRNA from 1 species